rnacentral:rRNA from 1 species
AGACCCGAAACCCGGUGAUCUAGCCAUGGGCAGGUUGAAGGUUGGGUAACACUAACUGGAGGACCGAACCGACUAAUGUUGAAAAAUUAGCGGAUGACCUGUGGCUGGGGGUGAAAGGCCAAUCAAACCGGGAGAUAGCUGGUUCUCCCCGAAAGCUAUUUAGGUAGCGCCUCGUGAAUUCAUCUCCGGGGGUAGAGCACUGUUUCGGCUAGGGGGCCAUCCCGGCUUACCAACCCGAUGCAAACUGCGAAUACCGGAGAAUGUUAUCACGGGAGACACACGGCGGGUGCUAACGUCCGUCGUGAAGAGGGAAACAACCCAGACCGCCAGCUAAGGUCCCAAAGUCAUGGUUAAGUGGGAAACGAUGUGGGAAGGCCCAGACAGCCAGGAUGUUGGCUUAGAAGCAGCCAUCAUUUAAAGAAAGCGUAAUAGCUCACUGGUCGAGUCGGCCUGCGCGGAAGAUGUAACGGGGCUAAACCAUGCACCGAAGCUGCGGCAGCGAACGUAUCACUUAAAGCGAUUCAGCGGGUUACGAUUGACGGAGCGAAGCGACGUCAAAGCGUAUACAAAGUCGAGUCGGUUUAAGGAUACGUUCGUUGGGUAGGGGAGCGUUCUGUAAGCCUGUGAAGGUGUGUCGUGAGGCAUGCUGGAGGUAUCAGAAGUGCGAAUGCUGACAUAAGUAAC